UAAUUGCAGAAACCGCGAACCAUCGAGUCUUUGAACGCAAGUUGCACCCGAGGCCACUAGGUCGAGGGUACACCUGCCUGGGCGUCACGC
rnacentral:rRNA from 1 species